AACGAACGCUGGCGGCGCGCCUAAUACAUGCAAGUCGAGCGAGAAGACGUAGCAAUACGUUUGUAAAGCGGCGAACGGGUGAGGAAUACAUGGGUAACCUACCCUCGAGUGGGGAAUAACUAGCCGAAAGGUUAGCUAAUACCGCGUACGCUCCUUGGACUUCGGUUCAGGGAGGAAAGCGAUACCGUGGGUAUCGCGCUCUUGGAUGGGCUCAUGUCCUAUCAGCUUGUUGGUGAGGAACGGCUCACCAAGGCUUCGACGGGUAGCUGGUCUGAGAGGACAAUCAGCCACACUGGCACUGCGACACGGGCCAGACUCCUACGGGAGGCAGCAGUAAGGACUAUUGCGCAAUGGGCGAAAGCCUGACGCAGCGACGCCGCGUGGGGGAUGAAGGUCUUCGGAUUGUAAACCCCUUUCGGGAGGGAAGAUGGAACGAGCAAUCGUUCGGACGGUACCUCCAGAAGCAGCCACGGCUAACUCCGUGCCAGCAGCCGCGGUAA
rnacentral:rRNA from 1 species